rnacentral:rRNA from 1 species
UACGUAGGGUGCAAGCGUUGUCCGGAAUUAUUGGGCGUAAAGAGCUUGUAGGCGGUUUGUCGCGUCUGCUGUGAAAUUUCGGGGCUCAACCCCGAACUUGCAGUGGGUACGGGCAGACUAGAGUGUGGUAGGGGAGACUGGAAUUCCUGGUGUAGCGGUGAAAUGCGCAGAUAUCAGGAGGAACACCAACAGCGAAGGCAGCACUCUGGGCCGGUACUGACGCUGAGGAGCGAAAGCAUGGGGAGCGAACAGG